rnacentral:rRNA from 1 species
AACGAACGCUGGCGGCGUGCUUAACACAUGCAAGUCGAACGCGAAAGGGACUUCGGUCCUGAGUAAAGUGGCGCACGGGUGAGUAACGCGUAGAUGACCUGUCUUCAUGUCUGGAAUAAUACGCCGAAAGGGGUACUAAUACCGGAUAUUCUUGCUUUUCAUAAGUUAUGCAAGCAAAGGUGGCCUCUGCAUAUGCUACUGCAUGAAGAGGGGUCUGCGUACCAUUAGCUAGUAGGUGGGGUAAUGGCCUACCUAGGCGACGAUGGUUAGCGGGUCUGAGAGGAUGAUCCGCCACACUGGCACUGGAACACGGGCCAGACUCCUACGGGAGGCAGCAGUGAGGAAUAUUGCGCAAUGGGGGAAACCCUGACGCAGCGACGCCGCGUGAGUGAGGAAAGGCCUUCGGGUCGUAAAGCUCUGUCAAGAGGAAAGAAGUGUACAAUGGCUAAUACCUGUUGUAUUUGACGGUACCUCUAAAGGAAGCACCGGCUAACUCCGUGCCAGCAGCUGC